rnacentral:lncRNA from 1 species
UUUUAUUCUUCUACUUGUUUCAGUCAUUUUGACUGCGGCCAUGCUGGAGCACCGCCUCUAGUCGAGCAAAUCGACUCCAGCCUAGUACUUAUUCUAUCGAGGAUCUUUAGCCGAACUGCUAAGUUACGGGGACGUGAAUACACCAGCAUCGGUUGUCAAGCGAUGUUGGCGCGACAGACACACAAACAUAUACACACGCAAACACACACAUAUAUACAUAUACGACUUGCUUCUUUCAGUUUCCGUCUACGAAAUUCACACACAAAACUUUGGUCGGCCCGAGGCUAUAGCAGAAGACACUUUCCCAAGGUGCCACGCAGUGGGAUUGAACCCGGGAGCAUGUGAUUGGUAAGCAAGCUACUUACCACACAGCCACUCCUGCACCUAUAUAUAUAUAAUAGAUAAAUAUUUUGUAUGAAUGCGUGUAUAUGUAUAUAUCUGCACAAACGUAGACAUAGUGGUACACACAAACAGAUACUUACGCAUAUGCAAAUUUUAUUGCUAUGACAACACGUUAUCAACAGCAACAACAACAAAUACAACGACACAAAAGUCUUACAUUUACUUAUAAUAAGUGCUGCAAACAGAAGUCAUUAAACUCAAAACACACUGACACACACAUUAUAUACUAGAUUUGUAUGCGUGUGUACAUACAUACAUAAAUAAAUACAUACAUACACACAUACAUACAUACAUACAUACAUACAUACAUACAUACAUACUCACAUACAUACAUACAUACAUACUUAGACAUACAUACACACAUACAUACAUACAUACAUACAUACAUACAUACAUACAUACAUACAUACAUACAUACAUACAUACAUACAUACAUACAUACAUACAUACAUACAUACAUACAUACAUACAUACAUAAAUACAUACAUACAUACACACACACACACACAUACAUACAUACAUACAUACAUACAUACAUACAUACAUACAUACAUACAUACAUACAUACAUACAUACAUACAUACAUACAUACAUACGUACGUACGUGUAGACGGAUGUAAGCUUCAUACAUAUUUCGCGCCGUUGACACUCGGAGGAUGUCUGUGCUUUUUACCUAAACAGCAAAUACCAAUAAUGUCGGAUUACUUUUUACUACCACCACCAACGCCACCAUCAUCAUCAUCGUCAUCAUUAUUCUAAUUACUACCACAAACUACUAAUACUACUAUUAGUAGUAAGUGCAAUAUUACGAUUGUUAAUGUGACGUGGGAUCCCCUUAACUUUUUUUGUUUUACCUGAGAAUGAAACUAGACCAGACAGAUAUGGAAAACCAAAAUAUUACAG